rnacentral:rRNA from 1 species
UACGGAGAGUGCGAGCGUUGUCCGGAAUCAUUGGGCGUAAAGGGCGCGUAGGUGGCUUCUUAAGCGUGCGGUGAAAGCCUGGGGCUCAACCCCGGGUCGGCCGUGCGAACUGGGGGGCUGGAGCACUGUAGAGGCAGGCGGAAUUCCGGGUGUAGCGGUGGAAUGCGUAGAGAUCCGGAAGAACACCGGUGGCGAAGGCGGCCUGCUGGGCAGUUGCUGACACUGAGGCGCGACAGCGUGGGGAGCAAACAGG